GACGAACGCUGGCGGCGUGCUUAACACAUGCAAGUCGAACGGAAAGGCCCUGCUUUUGUGGGGUGCUCGAGUGGCGAACGGGUGAGUAACACGUGAGUAACCUGCCCUUGACUUUGGGAUAACUUCAGGAAACUGGGGCUAAUACCGGAUAGGAGCUCCUGCUGCAUGGUGGGGGUUGGAAAGUUUCGGCGGUUGGGGAUGGACUCGCGGCUUAUCAGCUUGUUGGUGGGGUAGUGGCUUACCAAGGCUUUGACGGGUAGCCGGCCUGAGAGGGUGACCGGCCACAUUGGGACUGAGAUACGGCCCAGACUCCUACGGGAGGCAGCAGUGGGGAAUAUUGCACAAUGGGCGGAAGCCUGAUGAAGCAACGCCGCGUGCGGGAUGACGGCCUUCGGGUUGUAAACCGCUUUCGCCUGUGACGAAGCGUGAGUGGCGGUAAUGGGUAAAGAAGCACCGGCUAACUACGUG
rnacentral:rRNA from 1 species